rnacentral:misc_RNA from 1 species
CGUUUCCGUUUCCGGGUGUUUUUCCUUCUUUUUUUAGUAGAAUUUUUCUAUAUAUUAGUACAAAAUAUAUACUUAAAGAUAUAUUUUAUAAUAUCUAUAUUAAUUUUAUACAUAAAUAUUUAUGCAGAAAUGCUCGGCAGAUUUUUCCCAUUAAAAAAUACAAAUCAGCUCAAAACUAUAAAUUCGGCAAGAUGCUUUGGUUCUAUAAAGAAGACAAGUAAAAAGGCAAAGUUUCUAAUUGGAACUAGGUUACCGAACACGGACCUCUAUACAUCUUCACCUAAAGACGUCAUAAAGCCUGCAGAUUUAUUUUCUAAAAGAAAAUCCGUACUCUUUAGCGUUCCUGGGGCUUUUGUACCAGGUUGUAGCCACGGGCAUAUACCAGAAUAUUUAGAAAAUGUUGAAAGAUUUAAGACCGAAGGGUAUACUGUUAUCGCAUGUCUGUCCGUUAAUGAUCCUUACGUAAUGACUGCGUGGGGAAAAUCUGUUGAUCCAGAUCGUAAGCUUUUAAUGUUGUCAGAUCCAAAGGCCGAGUUUACAAAAGCCAUAGGUAUGGAGUUGGAUUGCACUUCAUUAUUAGGAGAUAUCAGGUCAAAAAGGUAUUCGCUUCUAAUCGACGAUGGCGUUGUUACACACGUUAGUCAAGAGCCCGACGAUUCUGGUUUGUCCUGUUUGCUAUGCAUUCAAAAAAUGAAGAGGAUACAACAAUCAACAAUAGACAGAUAAGAUAUUUAAGAAGAAGGAAAAACUUUAUAAAACUUGAAUUACAAUAAACGUCAAUGUACGAUUUAUACGCGAAAGAAAACGGGACAUUAUAAAAAAAAUAUAAAUAGUAAAUAGGUUUUAAUCUGUAAAUUCAUUAUACGAAGGGUCUCUCCCCCAGCUUUAUGAAUAACGUUUAAAAUAGUAAAAAGAGACCCACCAGAAUAAUAAUACUUGAAUUUAUAUUUUUCAUCCGAUAAUGUUGUAUUUAAAUGCAAUAAAUAAAUAAAUAGAUGGAAAUGGAAAACUAUUACAUUUUUCAAGUGAAUUCUGACAAGAAUGAGUGAAAAUGCAGUGAAAAAGGGAGGGAAAAAAAUCAUUUUGCAUGGAAAUAGUCAAGGAUCGACUAUGCUAUAAGUUAAAGUAAAAUACUGUAUAUAUAAAUAUAAAAGUCUUCUUCAAACUCCUAGAAAGAUUAAUAAAAAACGUUAUCUGCAAUUCUCUUUCAAAAGAAACACUGCAUAGAAUGGUUAACCAUUCCCUUUUAGUAAACAGACGACGGCCACUACGGAGACAGAUUGUUAAUUUUUAGUCAGCUGAAAUUAGACGACGACCUAUAUAUAGUUUAUACAGAUACUGGUACUACAGUUGCUAAAUAUACACCUUUAAUUGUAUUUAAUAAACAGUUAAUACAUUUAUUUGUUCAUAGGAGAUACAUUGAAUGCUCCUACUACUAUACGUGUAACUGUAUACACUACAUACUGUAUUAUACAGGGGUCUAUAUUACAGUAUAUGCAGCAUAAGAUGUAGAACUUAAAGUACUCUAUACUGCAAAUUUAAUAAGAUUCACAUUAUA